CUCUUUCUCGAUUCAGUGGAUGGUGGUGCAUGGCCGUUCUUAGUUGGUGGAGUGAUCUGUCUGGUUAAUUCCGAUAACGAACGAGACUCUCCCCUGCUAACUAGUCGGUUGGAUCUUGAUCAGUGGGUUGAGUGCCGAGUAACUCUCGCUGUGCGUGGUGUGCGUCUCGUUCCUCACGGUUCGUUGCGUGCUCAUGUGUGGCGUUGGAUGCCUUGGAUCACACUGCACCCCAAGUCCGCCGCUUUGCUAUAACUCUUCUUAGAGGGAUUCACGGCACUGAAGCCGUAAGAGACUGAGAGCAAUAACAGGUCUGUGAUGCCCUUAGAUGCUCUGGGCCGCACGCGCGCUACAAUGCCGGGCACAGCAGGUGUUUCUCCUGCUCCGACAGGAGCGGGUAACCCUCUGAAAGCCAGUGUUCUUGCAAGUGCUUCCUCCCUCGUGGAGUUGCACAGAGGCGUGCUUGGGCCUGGGACUUGCAAUUCUUUCCCACCAACGAGGAAUGCCUAGUAGCGGCGGGUCACUGAGCCCGCUGUGACUCAGUCCCUGCCCUUUGUACACACCGCCCGUCGCUACUACCGAUUGGGUGUACCAGUGAGAGCCUUGGACUGGCGUCCGUUGUUGCUCGCAAGAGUGACAAGCGGGUCCGACGGAAAGAGGUCCGAA
rnacentral:rRNA from 3 species